CAUUGCGAGGUGGAAUCUGAAGGAAGCCGGCGGCAAACAUCUGGCCCAACGAACAGAAACUUCAUACAAGGCAUAUGACCGUGGAUGAGAUUGCCAAACAAAUCAAAGUCCCAUAGCUAUUCGGAGCGGUAGGUGUAAAUGAAGUGGGUAUAAGAUGGAAAGACA
rnacentral:ncRNA from 1 species